rnacentral:rRNA from 1 species
CCCUUAGAGUUUGAUCCUGGCUCAGRACGAACGCUGGCGGCGCGCCUAACACAUGCAAGUCGAACGGAGCUGAGAAGAGCUUGCUUUUCUUAGCUUAGUGGCGAACGGGUGAGUAACGCGUGAGUAACCUGCCCUGGAGUGGGGGACAACAGUUGGAAACGACUGCUAAUACCGCAUAAGCCCACGGAUCCGCAUGGAUCUGCGGGAAAAGGAUUUAUUCGCUUCAGGAUGGACUCGCGUCCAAUUAGCUAGUUGGUGAGGUAACGGCCCACCAAGGCGACGAUUGGUAGCCGGACUGAGAGGUUGAACGGCCACAUUGGGACUGAGACACGGCCCAGACUCCUACGGGAGGCAGCAGUGGGGGAUAUUGCACAAUGGGGGAAACCCUGAUGCAGCGACGCCGCGUGGAGGAAGAAGGUUUUCGGAUUGUAAACUCCUGUCGUUAGGGACGAUAAUGACGGUACCUAACAAGAAAGCACCGGCUAACUACGUGCCAGCAGCCGCGGUAAAACGUAGGGUGCAAGCGUUGUCCGGAAUUACUGGGUGUAAAGGGAGCGCAGGCGGACCGGCAAGUUGGAAGUGAAAACUAUGGGCUCAACCCAUAAAUUGCUUUCAAAACUGCUGGCCUUGAGUAGUGCAGAGGUAGGUGGAAUUCCCGGUGUAGCGGUGGAAUGCGUAGAUAUCGGGAGGAACACCAGUGGCGAAGGCGACCUACUGGGCACCAACUGACGCUGAGGCUCGAAAGCAUGGGUAGCAAACAGGAUUAGAUACCCUGGUAGUCCAUGCCGUAAACGAUGAUUACUAGGUGUUGGAGGAUUGACCCCUUCAGUGCCGCAGUUAACACAAUAAGUAAUCCACCUGGGGAGUACGACCGCAAGGUUG